UACGGAGGGGGCUAGCGUUGUUCGGAAUUACUGGGCGUAAAGCGCACGUAGGCGGCUUUGUAAGUUAGAGGUGAAAGCCCGGGGCUCAACCCCGGAAUUGCCUUUAAGACUGCAUCGCUAUAAUUGUGGAGAGGUAAGUGGAAUUCCGAGUGUAGAGGUGAAAUUCGUAGAUAUUCGGAAGAACACCAGUGGCGAAGGCGACUUACUGGACACAUAUUGACGCUGAGGUGCGAAAGCGUGGGGAGCAAACAGG
rnacentral:rRNA from 1 species